AUUGAACGCUGGCGGCAGGCUUAACACAUGCAAGUCGAGCGGAGUGGUGGUGCUUGCACUAUCACUUAGCGGCGGACGGGUGAGUAAUGCUUAGGAAUCUGCCUAUUAGUGGGGGACAACAUUUCGAAAGGAAUGCUAAUACCGCAUACGUCCUACGGGAGAAAGCAGGGGAUCUUCGGACCUUGCGCUAAUAGAUGAGCCUAAGUCGGAUUAGCUAGUUGGUGGGGUAAAGGCCUACCAAGGCGACGAUCUGUAGCGGGUCUGAGAGGAUGAUCCGCCACACUGGGACGGAGACACGGCCCAGACUCCUACGGGAGGCAGCAGUGGGGAAUAUUGGACAAUGGGCGGAAGCCUGAUCUAGCCAUGCCGCGUGUGUGAAGAAGGCCUUAUGGUUGUAAAGCACUUUAAGCGAGGAGGAGGCUACUUUAGUUAAUACCUAGAGAUAGUGGACGUCACUCGCAGAAUAAGCACCGGCUAACUCUGUGCCAGCCGCCGCCGUAACAC
rnacentral:rRNA from 1 species